rnacentral:rRNA from 1 species
UACGUAGGGAGCAAGCGUUGCCCGGAAUCACUGGGCGUAAAGAGCGCGUAGGCGGCUGCAUAAGUCCGUCGUGAAAGUCAAAGGCUCAACCUUUGAAAGCCGAUGGAUACUGUAGAGCUAGAGUACGGAAGAGGCGAGUGGAAUUCCUGGUGUAGCGGUGGAAUGUGCAGAUAUCAGGAGGAACACCAAUAGCGAAGGCAGCUCGCUGGGACGUUACUGACACUGAGGCGCGAAAGCUAGGGGAGCAAACGGG